GUGCUCGCUUCAGCAGCAUAUAUACUAAAAUUGGAGCAAUACAGAGAUUAGCAUGGCCCCUGCGCAAGGAUGUCACGCAAAUUCGUGAAGCAUUCCAUAUUUUU